rnacentral:lncRNA from 1 species
AAAGAGCAGGUGGAAGCUGCCCUGGAGGAAAGAAAGGAGUCAGAAAACUGGUGGAAACAUCGACCAGGUUGAUCCUCAGGCAGCGAAGGAGGUCGAGGAGACCCAAGUUUUGGACCUGCAGAUAGUUCCAGAGUCUGGCGUUCUUGCAGAAGUCCACGCAGUGACACUGGAGGUUUUAUAUACUCCAAUAGUGGAGAACACUCCUGAAGAAAUGGAGGAAGUCCUCCAAACCUCUACAUCUUUGAGGGAUGAGGUGGAGAAGAACUGUGAGCAGCUCCUCGUGAAUGAUGCAGAUGUCAUCAUUGAGGUCCUUGAGGUGCUGGAGGAUGAUGUGGUCACAGUUAGUGUCGAGCCAGUUGGUAAGUUUAAACAGACAUUAGCAACCACUAAUAGAUCCUUAUGGUAGGAUCAAAACGCAGGAGAUAACAAAUGAUAUCUAUUAAUUUUGAAACAGGUGAUCAGGUGAUCAUCAUUGUGGAUGAGGCUGGAAUUAAUAAGCAGGAGACCACAGCAGGGCUUGUGGUUGAGCUGCUGAAAGAAGUUGAGAGGGUCAAUGGUCGGCCUAUUGGUGAGUACAAAUUUAAACGCACAUCAUUAUAAGAUCCAGGAAUGAAAAC